GACUACCCGGGUAUCUAAUCCUGUUUGCUCCCCACGCUUUCGCGCCUCAGCGUCAGUUACAGACCAGAUGGCCGCCUUCGCCACUGGUGUUCUUCCCAAUAUCUACGAAUUCCACCUCUACACUGGGAGUUCCACCAUCCUCUUCUGUACUCUAGUCUAAUAGUUUUGAACGCCAUUCCCGGGUUAAGCCCAGGGAUUUCACGCCCAACUUAUCAAACCGCCUACGCGCUCUUUACGCCCAGUAAUUCCGAACAACGCUUGCUCCCUUCGUAUUACCGCGGCUGCUGGCACGAAGUUAGCCGGAGCUUAUUCUGCGGGUACCGUCAUCAUCGUCCCCGCCAAAAGGACUUUACAAUCCGAAGACCUUCAUCAUCCACGCGGCGUUGCUGGAUCAGGGUUUCCCCCAUUGUCCAAUAUUCCCCACUGCAGCCUCCCGUAGG
rnacentral:rRNA from 1 species